rnacentral:rRNA from 1 species
AACGAACGCUGGCGGCAUGCCUAACACAUGCAAGUCGAACGAGACCUUCGGGUCUAGUGGCGCACGGGUGCGUAACGCGUGGGAACCUGCCCUUAUGGUCGGAAUAACUCCCCGAAAGGGGUGCUAAUACCGGAUAAUGUCUUCGGACCAAAGAUUUAUCGCCUUUGGAUGUGCCCGCGUUGGAUUAGCUCGUUGGUAGGGUAAAAGCCUACCAAGGCGACGAUCCAUAGCUGGUCUGAGAGGAUGAUCAGCCACACUGGGACUGAGACACGGCCCAGACUCCUACGGGAGGCAGCAGUGGGGAAUAUUGGACAAUGGGCGAAAGCCUGAUCCAGCAAUGCCGCGUGAGUGAUGAAGGCAUUAGGGUUGUAAAGCUCUUUUACCCGGGAUGAUAAUGACAGUACCGGGAGAAUAAGCUCCGGCUAACUCCGUG